rnacentral:rRNA from 1 species
GACGAACGCUGGCGGCGUGCUUAACACAUGCAAGUCGAACGGUAAGGCCCUUCGGGGUACACGAGUGGCGAACGGGUGAGUAACACGUGGGUGAUCUGCCCUGCACUUCGGGAUAAGCCUGGGAAACUGGGUCUAAUACCGGAUAGGACCAUUGCCUGCAUGGGUGGUGGUGGAAAGCUUUUGCGGUGUGGGAUGGGCCUGCGGCCUAUCAGCUUGUUGGUGGGGUGAUGGCCUACCAAGGCGACGACGGGUAGCCGGCCUGAGAGGGUGACCGGCCACACGGGGACUGAGAUACGGCCCAGACUCCUACGGGAGGCAGCAGUGGGGAAUAUUGCACAAUGGGCGCAAGCCUGAUGCAGCGACGCCGCGUGAGGGAUGACGGCCUUCGGGUUGUAAACCUCUUUCAGCACCGACGAAGCGCAAGUGACGGUAGGUGCAGAAGAAGGACCGGCCAACUACGUGCCAGCAGCCGCCGUAA